rnacentral:rRNA from 1 species
UACGGAGGAUGCGAGCGUUAUCCGGAUUUAUUGGGUUUAAAGGGUGCGUAGGCGGGCUUUUAAGACAGCGGUAAAAAUUCGGGGCUCAACCCCGUCCGGCCGUUGAAACUGGGGGUCUUGAGUGGGCGAGAAGAAGGCGGAAUGCGUGGUGUAGCGGUGAAAUGCAUAGAUAUCACGCAGAACCCCGAUUGCGAAGGCAGCCUUCCGGCGCCCUACUGACGCUGAGGCACGAAAGUGCGGGGAUCGAACAGG